rnacentral:rRNA from 1 species
GAUGAACGCUGGCGGCGUGCCUAAUACAUGCAAGUCGAGCGAAUGGAUUAAGAGCUUGCUCUUAUGAAGUUAGCGGCGGACGGGUGAGUAACACGUGGGUAACCUGCCCAUAAGACUGGGAUAACUCCGGGAAACCGGGGCUAAUACCGGAUAACAUUUUGAACCGCAUGGUUCGAAAUUGAAAGGCGGCUUCGGCUGUCACUUAUGGAUGGACCCGCGUCGCAUUAGCUAGUUGGUGAGGUAACGGCUCACCAAGGCAACGAUGCGUAGCCGACCUGGGGGGGUGAUCGGCCACACUGGGACUGAGACACGGCCCAGACUCCUACGGGAGGUAGCAGUAGGGAAUCUUCCGCAAUGGAGGAAAGUCUGACGGAGCAACGCCGCGUGAGUGAUGAAGGCUUUCGGGUCGUAAAACUCUGUUGUUAGGGAAGAACAAGUGCUAGUUGAAUAAGCUGGCACCUUGACGGUACCUAACCAGAAAGCCACGGCUAGCUACGUGCCAGCAGCCGCAGUAA